GACGAACGCUGGCGGCGUGCUUAACACAUGCAAGUCGAACGGAAAGGCCCUGCUUUUGUGGGGUGCUCGAGUGGCGAACGGGUGAGUAACACGUGAGUAACCUGCCCUUGACUUUGGGAUAACUUCAGGAAACUGGGGCUAAUACCGGAUAGGAGCUCCUGCUGCAUGGUGGGGGUUGGAAAGUUUCGGCGGUUGGGGAUGGACUCGCGGCUUAUCAGCUUGUUGGUGGGGUAGUGGCUUACCAAGGCUUUGACGGGUAGCCGGCCUGAGAGGGUGACCGGCCACAUGGGGACUGAGAGACGGCCCAGAAUCCUACGGGAGGCAGCAGUGGGGAAUAUUGCACAAUGGGCGGAAGCCUGAUGCAGCAACGCCGCGUGCGGGAUGCCGGCCUUCGGGUUGUAAACCGCUUUCGCCUGUGACGAAGCGUGAGUGACGGUAAUGGGUAAAGAAGCACCGGCUAACUACGUG
rnacentral:rRNA from 1 species